rnacentral:rRNA from 1 species
UUAGUGGCGAACGGCUGAGUAACGCGUAGGUGACCUACCCCGUAGUGUGGAAUAACUGCCCGAAAGGGUAGCUAAUACCGCAUGUUGAGCCGACAUCAAUGUCGUCUCCAAAGCAGAAAUGCGCUAUGGGCGGGGCCUGCGUUCGAUUAGCUAGUUGGUGGGGUAAUGGCUCACCAAGGCGACGAUCGAUAGGUGGUCUGAGAGGACGAUCACCCAGACUGGGACUGAGACACGGCCCAGACUCCUACGGGAGGCAGCAGUCGGGAAUUUUGCGCAAUGGGGGAAACCCUGACGCAGCAAUACCGCGUGUGGGAUGAAGGCCUUCGGGUCGUAAACCACUUUUUUCGGGGACGAUAAUGACGGUACCCGAAGAAUAAGCCACGGCUAACUACGUGCCAGCAGCCGCGGUAAUACGUAGGUGGCAAGCGUUGUCCGGAUUUACUGGGCGUAAAGCGCGCGCAGGCGGUGAAUGAAGUCGAAAGUGAA